UUGUGUUAGCGAUUGCAAUGGCAUCCUUUUUUUGCUUCGAUAUAUGGCAAAAAAAGAUAUAAUGGAAAGCGCGACCUCCU
rnacentral:sRNA from 1 species